UAUUUAUAGCCUCUGGCUAUAGGAAAUUGUUAGUGGCAGACGGGUGAGUAAUGCGUAGGAAUCUACCUAGUAGUACGGAAUAGCCAUUAGAAAUGGUGGGUAAUAAUGUAUAAUCCCCGAGGGGGAAAGAUUUAUCGCUAUUAGAUGAGCCUACGUUAGAUUAGCUAGUUGGUGAGGUAAUGGCUUACCAAGGCUAUGAUCUAUAGCUGGUCUGAGAGGACGAUCAGCCACACUGGAACUGAGAUACGGUCCAGACUCCUACGGGAGGCAGCAGUGGGGAAUAUUGGACAAUGGGCGAAAGCCUGAUCCAGCUAUGCCGCGUGAGUGAAGAAGGCCUUCGGGUUGUAAAACUCUUUCAAUAGGGAAGAUAAUGACGGUACCUAUAGAAGAAGUCCCGGCAAACUC
rnacentral:rRNA from 1 species